ensembl:snoRNA
UGGACCAGUGAUGACAGUUGGUGGCGUAUGAGUCAUGGAUGAUGAAUAUAACGUGUCUGAAACUCUGAGGUCCAA